UUAUGGCUUAUUAUAUGAUGUAUAGGGAUUUUUGAUGUCCGAGGAGAUGGUUUAACUCCAUUAGCUAUA
rnacentral:tRNA from 1 species